GAAAGAAAGAAAGAACCAGAAAUACACAAAGUAAAUGACAAGAGAAAAAUAAUUAGAAGAAUUUUUAAAAAUAAGAUGACCGGUGACUCCCAUUGGCUCCGUCUAUAGCCUCCGCUCACAGCUCGUUCAAUGCUUGGGUGUGGAUGCUUGUUCUGUUCGAACUUGAUCCCACUGGAAAUCUCCUUUUCUCCCUACAUGCCCCGCCCCUGGGUCCCAGGCCUCUCCCCUAGUUGCAACGAUCGAGGCUCAGCCUUUGAACUGUGUACCGAAGCCUUGUGAGCCGCUGACUCAGAGCUCGAGACCAGGAGUCAUCAGGUGUGCGAUUCUAUGUGGUGUGUGCUUAGGUUUUCUCGAGAGCUGUCACGGAAGAAAAGGAGAAAACUCAAACACAAAACUCACCAAGGGACCCUAUGAAAACCUUAAAGACCAGUUGAUCACAAAGCUGCCUGAACCAUCACAAAGCACAGAAAAAGAACGUAAGCUUCCGUGUUACUUCCAUGAAGCUAAUAGAACAUCGCUAGCAGACCUGAGAAAGACAGUCUAUCACUAACAAAUAACGACGCGAACAUUUUUGCAUAAAGCCAGAAGCAGAGAGAAUCCCCAAACACGUUUAAUAUGUCACGAACAAGUGGGAUUUUUUUUCCAGAAAUGCAGGGCGGUUUAAUAUCAGGAAAUCUAUCCUCUUCACAGAGCUGGGAGAAGAACCACGUGAUCGCGUCCACACACGCCAACAAGGCAUUUGACAAAAUUCAGCUCCCGGUUGAUGCUGGCUAUAAACCGCAAACCACAGGUGCUCGUGCCUGGCUCCAGCUUUGAUGGUGGAGGCAUCUACUCCAAAAACGGCUCUCUCCGCUAAACACACGGCCGGCCACGGGACUGGGUAAAGAGCCGGCUCCCCACCUGCCGGUCUCCUUGUUUCAGCCAUCUUGGUUGAUUCAGAUAACAGACCAUUUGGGCCUCUUGCUUUUUUUUUCUUCUCUUCCCACCCUUCGAAUUCCUAGGCCUAUAUUUUAAGUUCACCAGUAGAGUAUGAACCCUCAAAACCCUAGCCCCCACCUUCAACCCCAAGAAAAGUAGAAUUCCAGGACUGGGCACUCACACACUAACUCUGUCUCUCUCUCUCUCUCUCUCUCUGGGACCUUGCUGUGUGGCCCCGGGUGUGCUGUGUAACUUCCAGGUCCUGUAAGUAAGAAACCUUUAUUUCAAAGUUCCCUGACGGUUGUCACUGAAGGACAUCUGCCACCAGAGGGAGAACCAGGGGGGCCCGUCCAACCACAGCACUGGUUACUGUUCGGCUGAGACCAGCCCACAACAAUGACCCCGUCUGACCUUAUCUCCAAAUGCGUCACAAUCUAAGUAAAAGAGCAGUAGUUAAUUCCGGAAGCUGGACUCCGUGCUGAGACUAAAUCGCCACAUUCCCCACCCUUCGUUGUAGUUGGGGGGGGGUAGCCACGUGAUCAAGCCCCGGACAAAGAAAUGAAAAAGAAAGGAUGGGAGUAACAUGGGGACACACGUCUUUUAAAGUGGCUUCUUCCCAGACACCUGGGUGGCUGGGCCAGUGAAGCGUUCAACUCCAGCUCAGGUCGUGAUCUCAAGGUCUGUGAAUUUGAGCCCCUCAUCGGACUCUCUGCUGACAGUGCAGAGUUUGUUUCUGAGUCACUGUCUCCCUCUCUCUCUGCCCCUCCCCCACUCAUUCU